rnacentral:rRNA from 1 species
AUUGAACGCUGGCGGAAUGCUUUACACAUGCAAGUCGAACGGCAGCACGGGGGCAACCCUGGUGGCGAGUGGCGAACGGGUGAGUAAUACAUCGGAACGUGCCCAGUCGUGGGGGAUAACGUAGCGAAAGUUACACUAAUACCGCAUACGAUCUACGGAUGAAAGCGGGGGACCGUAAGCCCUCGCGCGAUUGGAGCGGCCGAUGUCAGAUUAGGUAGUUGGUGAGGUAAAGGCUCACCAAGCCGACGAUCUGUAGCUGGUCUGAGAGGACGAGCAGCCACACUGGGACUGAGACACGGCCCAGACUCCUACGGGAGGCAGCAGUGGGGAAUUUUGGACAAUGGGCGCAAGCCUGAUCCAGCCAUUCCGCGUGCAGGACGAAGGCCUUCGGGUUGUAAACUGCUUUUGUACGGAACGAAAAGGCUCUGGUUAAUACCUGGGGCUCAUGACGGUACCGUAAGAAUAAGCACCGGCUAACUACGUGCCAGCCGCCGCGGUAA